rnacentral:sRNA from 1 species
UUAAGUCGAAAAAUCUUGAGAAAAUCGCCACAGUUGGAAAAGUUUCAUCAGUUUCUAGUUAGUGAAACAGAAUCUGGAAAUAUUAGUCGUCAGGAAGCUGUUAGCAUGAUCCCGCCACUGCUCCUCAACGUGCGGCCUCAUCACAAGACGGAGUCUUGCUCUGUUGCCCAGUGCAGUGGCGUGAUGUUGGCUCACUGCAAGUUCCACCUCCUGGGUUCAUGCCGUUCUCCUGCCUCAGCCUCCCGAGUAGCUGGGACUACAGGCGCCCGCCACCACGCCCGGAGGGAUUUGUUAUUGCGAAUGAUGUGGACAACAAGCGCUGCUACCUGCUCGUCCAUCAAGCCAAGAGGCUGAGCAGCCCCUGCAUCAUGGUGGUCAACCAUGAUGCCUCCAGCAUACCCAGGCUCCAGAUAGAUGUGGACGGCAGGAAAGAGAUCCUCUUCUAUGAUCGAAUUUUAUGUGAUG